UGUACGAAACGGCCUAAUUCCUAAACACCAGGAAGCGGGGGAUCCAUUUUAUGGGUGAAUUGAUCUCGCAACAAAGAGAUCAUAGGGGACCUUCAACCGAAUCCUUAAGCUAACCUCGCAGGCAUUGGAAGGGGAAAAC
rnacentral:sRNA from 1 species